CUGUCAUGGCGCUGGUGGGAGUGUAGCAGUGAGGACAACCAGAGGUGACUCUCGUGGCCAUCUAGGUUUUGUGCUCUACCAUGAUAAGAAGUGUUGGCUUUCCCUUUGCCUUCCACCGUAAUUGUAAGUUUCCUGAAGCUUCCCAGUCGUGCCUCCUGUUGUGCCUGCAGAACCAACAAUGAUAGUCUGUGGACCAGAAAUGGCUUGCAUACCUCUCUAGUCUGCGUGGCACUGUAUUAGAAGACAUACUCCAAGACAAGGAAGCAAAGGAAGAAUGAGAAAGACGUGAGAGAAUCCAGAGUAAGUGGAGUUCCAGAACAGCACCGAUGAGCAGACCAAGGGAGCAAUUUCCAGAUUGGGCAAGGACAGAGGACCAGGAAGAGGCUAUAAGGAACAAAGAAAAACAGUUUAAUUGUUAGCUUCCCAGACGUGCUUGGCUAUGUGACAAGGUGAAUUCAAGGGUCUUUUUAAAUUACUUGAAGAGCUUGCGAAGCAUUGAUUACAAUGACUAAAAUCAUGAAAGCAAACAAAAUGAUAUGAUUAGUAGCUGCAGAAAAAAUGAAGUAAAUCAUGCUUCAAAUGCUCAUCACACAAGUAUGACAUAGCUGCUGCUGAAGGAUGUCGAGGAAGGGGUUUGAGGCAUGAGGUAUGUAAGCUACUUGUUCUCUUUAGAAAUUCAAUAGAUAGUGCCUAAAAAUUACAGGCCAAGAGGUAAUAGGAAAAGUAAAUUAUUUAGAAUGGUGGAGGCAUAUACCUGACUAUAGGAUUAUCAGUAGUUACUUCUGGUGAGAAGCAGGCCAGAUUAAAGUGAAGUCAGAGACUCCUGAUUUCUGGAUAAGGUUCCUAAAAUAAUUUGACACAAAAAACUCUGUACAUGUAUGAGAUAACAUAAUAAAAGUUGCCAGUCUAAUUUAGUAUUUUUAUUUUUCACUUCAAUGAAAUUUUGAUCUACUAAAAUGUGUUUCAUAUAGUAUUUUUUGCUAAGUGUAUGUACAUGCCAAUCUCUAUAAACUGUUUAAAAUUAAACUCAUUUAUCAUAAC
rnacentral:lncRNA from 1 species